rnacentral:lncRNA from 1 species
GGAUUGACAAUGAGUCAAAAAAAAGUCAAUCUCUCUCUAAUUCUUUAUAUUAUUCACAAGACUAGGCCAUAAAGUUCACUGUUCAUUGUCACGAGAACUUUCAUAAGAAGAUUUACAAGUCGGCAGAUGAUCAUUUUGUCCCAACUUUCUGUCUCAGUUAUAAAUGGAUAACACAUAUGUAUUUAAAAUUUAUUAAAAAAAAUUAUAUAAUUUUAUAAAUUAUAAAUAAACAAGUAUCAUCCAACUAGAUUAAGACAGGAUUAUAUCUCAAAUGUUUUGGGACAGCAGAUUCCAACUCUUACCAGUCUAACUACUCCUGAAAGUUUAGUGUUGUGCCACGUGUUUCACUUUAUCCACGAUCACAGACGUACGCUCGAGUAAGGCUGUUCAAAAAAAUAAGUAGAACUAAAAUAUCAGAAUAUUGAAUCUUAGGGCAUGUUUGGUAAUAUUUAAAAGUCAAGUUUUUUUUAAAGUUUAUUAUCAAAAAAAGUUAGAUUUUUUAAUUUUCUGGCUUUACUUUAGCUAAAAAUAAGCAAAAAAGUAAAAUAAAAAAGUAAAAAAGCAAAAAAAAAUGACUUUUUUGUUUAUAAAUUUAAAAAAAGCCAGCCGAAAAGCAGGUACCAAAUAGAGCCUUAAUAUUAGAAUAGCUUAUGUAAGGGAAUAAAUUAUACAAUUAUGAAUUCUGGCAUUCUUAGGGUAAGCACCGCCAACAAACUAUCAUUAUGAAGCAAGCUAUGUGGUCCCCUAUGCCGGGACUCGAUCGAGACACUACCAAACAUUGGCACUGUAAGGUUACCAUCACUUUCGAGUUGUCACUGUUUAGUAACCGGAGUUUGGCCAAGCACUGUUUUUAAAACCGGACCGGACGGUCAACAGUUUGUGGCGAUCCAACAGGUAAAUUUAAACUUUUUUGAUUUUUCUUAACGAGAUAAGACUGAAAAUGUAAAAAUUUUUAUUUAAUUUCCAAAAACAAUUUAUAAAAAUUAUUAUUUUUGAAAAAAAUAACUUUAUUUUUUAUAAAAGAAAAACUGUUAUAUAUUUUAAAAAUUAUUCUCAAUAAUAUAUAUAUUUCAAAACUAUUUUUUUUAAUAUUUUUUCGAUUAAAUGUUUUUCAAAAAAAAUAUUUUUCAGAAAAACGGUUAAUUUUCAAAAAAAAAUUGGUAAAAAAAAUUAAUUUAAUAAAAAAAAUUAUUAAAAAAACUAAUAAAAAAGAAACAAAAAAAAAACUAAAAAAACGAAAAAGAGAGGAGAGAGAGAGAGAGAGAGAGAGAGAAUUGUCCAAUAGGUGUGAAGGCAAAUUAGUAAUUUUACAAGUAAUAAUGGGGGACAAAAUCUGACAAGGGUGGUCAGUACCGAAACCUCAGGGGAGAUCAUUGUAAUUUUUUAAACUUUAAGAGUACUUUAUGUAUUAAUCUGAAACCUCAGGGGAGGUCAGUGUAAUUUACCCUUAUUAAAAUUGCCAAAAUGGAUUUUCGCCAAUUUCGCCAUUUCACCCAUUUUAACUUGUUGACGUCGUCAAAAUCAAAAUCGUUAUAUCACCGAUUUGAUUAUUAACAUCGCCUACCUAAGUUUUACUCGCCCGCCCAAAAGGUAGAAAAAUAAUUGGGAGUUACAUCCUCCAAUUAUUCAACUAAGGCAUCUUGCUCAUCAAAAUUGUGAAUUUCAGAAAGCUGGAGCAUCUCAGUUUUUUUUAUUUUUGAAAUUGCAACAAUUUUUUUGGACCUGUUUUCAGGUUUUAAAAACCAAUUUAAAAUAGUUUUCAGAAACUAUUUUUAAAAAAAAAAAACUGAUAUCAGUUGCAGAAACUGAUUUUAAAAAAUAAUUAUUUUUUGAAUUUUUAGAUUUUAAAUUUUUUUACAACUUUAAGGAAAAAACAGAAACUCGAAAACUGUUUUUUUUUCCUUUAGAAAUUGUUAUAUAUAAACAGAUUGCAUAAACAUGUUUUUUAUUAAAAUCAGAAACUAUUUUUUUUCUUGAAACAGUUUUGCUUCAAGGCUGGAUAACAAUGUUUCAUUGCUGUUUGCUUUCUGUAUAUUCAAAAGUUUACGGACCCCCAACGGUUGAUUGCUCAACUAUCACCAUUUAUAAAUCUUUAAUGUUAAUACACCAUUAGUGGGGGCUACAGAAUCAUAAUGGCAGCUGUUGCACAUCCAUUACCACGGUGGUAAUAAGGAGUCAUCAAACUUUUGUAAUGAAUGACAUGGGUUUUCACUCUCCUCUGUACACAUAGCAACAACUGAGAGCGUAAACAAGUAUGAAUCUUUUUUUUCUUUUUAUUUUUUAUUAAUUAAAAUUACAAUUCUUGAUGGAGCACAAAUGAAAGAAGUUAUGAUUGAAUUGAAAAAACUAAACAUUGAUUCAAAGCUUUGCUCAUAAAUAUCAGAAGGUGUUUAGAAAGGGAAAAUGUCCAGCUCAUGACGCAUGAUAGCUUUGCUUGGUGAUUUGGUCCAAGUUGAUACUUAGCUGUGGACAGCUUGAAGUAGUACACUUGGAAAAUUAU